GACGAACGCUGGCGGCGUGCUUAACACAUGCAAGUCGAACGGAAAGGCCCUGCUUUUGUGGGGUGCUCGAGUGGCGAACGGGUGAUUAACACGUGAGUAACCUGCCCUUGACUUUGGGAUAACUUCAUGAAACUUGGGCUAAUACCGGAUAGGAGCUCCUGCUGCAUGGUUGGGGUUGGAAAGUUUCGGCGGUUGGGGAUGGACUCGCGGCUUAUCAGCUUGUUGGUGGGGUAGUGGCUUACCAAGGCUUUGACGGGUAGCCGGCCUGAGAGGGUGACCGGCCAAAUUGGGACUGAGAUACGGCCCAGACUCCUACGGGAGGCAGCAGUGGGGAAUAGUGCACAAGGGGCGGAAGCCUGAUGCAGCAACGCCGCGUGCGGGAUGACGGCCUUCGGGUUGUAAACCGCUUUCGCCUGUGACGAAGCGUGAGUGACGGUAAUGGGUAAAGAAGCACCGGCUAACUACGUG
rnacentral:rRNA from 1 species